UUUCAUCAACAUUAAGGAUUUAUUUACUUAAAACAAGCUCCUAUGUCUUGCUAAAAAAGUUACUUGUAAGUUAGUUUUGUCUUAUUUCAAGUAUAUUAAGGUUUUUGCACUAUAAACUAGGCCAAAAAUACUUUGUAAGACUUUGUGUUUUAUUUUUUGCAGUG